rnacentral:rRNA from 1 species
AUACGGAGGGGGCUAGCGUUGUUCGGAAUUACUGGGCGUAAAGCGCGCGUAGGCGGCUUAUCAAGUUAGGCGUGAAAGGCCUGGGCUCAACCCGGGAACUGCGCUUAAUACUGGUAGGCUUGAGUCCGGGAGAGGGUGGCGGAAUUCCCAGUGUAGAGGUGAAAUUCGUAGAUAUUGGGAAGAACACCAGUGGCGAAGGCGGCCACCUGGCCCGGUACUGACGCUGAGGUGCGAAAGCGAGGGGAGCAAACAGGAUUAGAAACCCCGGUAGUCC